rnacentral:rRNA from 1 species
GCGGAGGAAAAGAAACCAACAGGGAUUGCCCUAGUAACGGCGAGUGAAGCGGCAACAGCCCAAAUUUGAAAUCUGACCCCCUGGGGUCCGAGUUGUAAUUUGGAGAGGAUGCCUCGGUGGAGGCCCCGGCCGAAGUGCCUUUGAACGGGCCGUCAGAGAGGGUGAGAACCCCGUCCGCGGUCGCCGGCCCCCACCGUGUGAGGCUCCUUCGACGAGUCGAGUUGUUUGGGAAUGCAGCUCUAAAUGGGAGGUAAAUUCCUUCCAAGGCUAAAUAUCCGCCAGAGACCGAUAGCGCACAAGUAGAGUGAUCGAAAGGUGAAAAGCACUUUGAAAAGAGGGUGAAACAGCACGUGAAAUUGUUGAAAGGGAAGCGCUUGCAACCAGAGUCGUCCGCGGGGGCUCCACCGACCCUCGGGCCCGGUGUACUCCCCCGCGGUCGAGCCAGCAUCAGCUCGGCCGGUCGGAUAAAGGCCGUGGGAAUGUGACACCCUCGGGAGUGUUAUAGCCCUCGGAACAAGACCACAC